UACGUAGGGACCGAGCGUUGUCCGGAAUCAUUGGGCGUAAAGAGCGUGUAGGCGGCUAUUUAAGUCCUGCGUGAAAUCCUGCGGCUCAACCGCAGACGGUCGUGGGAAACUGGAUGGCUAGAGUGCGGGAGAGGAGAGUGGAAUUCCCGGUGUAGCGGUGAAAUUCGUAGAUAUCGGGAGGAACACCGGUGGCGAAGGCGGCGAUCUGGGUAGAUACUGACGCUGAGGUGCGAAAGCGUGGGGAGCAAACAGG
rnacentral:rRNA from 1 species